rnacentral:lncRNA from 1 species
GACUAAGUAGCGAGUUUUUCCAUACUAUAGGGACUAAAUAGUAUUUUUUUUCAUUUUAUUAUUGAUAAGGGUAUUUUUGGGAUUAUAUUUAUUCUCUUUCCUUUGACCAGGUGAAAAUCAUUGACUUAACAGAAAUUUUUGAUGGAGGGACCUUGAAUUUUGACGGAAUUAAACCUCAGGGACGAAAGUGUUGGGAUUUAAAAAUAGAGGGACGAAUUCGUUAAUUACGCUAU